GCGCCUCUAGCUCAAUGGUAGAGCAAUUGACUCUUAAUCAAUGGGUUCCGGGUUCGAGUCCCGGGGGGCGCACGA
rnacentral:tRNA from 1 species